rnacentral:rRNA from 1 species
AGAGUUUGAUCCUGGCUCAGGAUGAACGCUAGCGACAGGCUUAACACAUGCAAGUCGAGGGGCAGCGGGGAGUAGCAAUACUUCGCCGGCGACCGGCGCACGGGUGAGUAACACGUGUGCAACCAACCCCGUACCGGGAGAUAACCCGCGGAAACGUGGACUAACAUCCCAUGAUACUCGAGAGCCGCAUGGCUCUAGAUUUAAAAUUCCGGUGGUACGGGACGGGCACGCGCGACAUUAGGUAGUUGGCGGGGUAAGGGCCCACCAAGCCGACGAUGUCUAGGGGUUCUGAGAGGAAGGUCCCCCACACUGGAACUGAGACACGGUCCAGACUCCUACGGGAGGCAGCAGUGAGGAAUAUUGGUCAAUGGGCGAGAGCCUGAACCAGCCAAGUCGCGUGAGGGACGAAUGGUCUAUGGCCUGUAAACCUCUUUUGUCAAGGAAGAAUAAAUCGCACGGGUGCGAUCUUGCCAGUACUUGACGAAUAAGCAUCGGCUAACUCCGUGCCAGCAGCCGCGGUAAUACGGGGGAUGCGAGCGUUAUCCGGAUUUAUUGGGUUUAAAGGGCGCGUAGGCGGGACGCCAAGUCAGCGGUAAAAGACUGCAGCUAAACUGUAGCACGCCGUUGAAACUGGCGCCCUCGAGACGAGACGAGGGAGGCGGAACAAGUGAAGUAGCGGUGAAAUGCUUAGAUAUCACUUGGAACCCCGAUAGCGAAGGCAGCUUCCCAGGCUCGAUCUGACGCUGAUGCGCGAGAGCGUGGGUAGCGAACAGGAUUAGAUACCCUGGUAGUCCACGCCGUAAACGAUGCUCACUGGAUCUUGGCGAUACACGGCCAGGGUUCAAGCGAAAGUAUUAAGUGAGCCACCUGGGGAGUACGUCGGCAACGAUGAAACUCAAAGGAAUUGACGGGGGCCCGCACAAGCGGAGGAACAUGUGGUUUAAUUCGAUGAUACGCGAGGA